rnacentral:lncRNA from 1 species
AAUGAAAUUAUAUCAAUCCUAUUCUUCGAAAACAAAUUCAAGAGACUAUCUGAUAGCUUCAGAUGUGCCAGGUUGUUCUUGGAUUAUGGUUUUAAACUCAGUCUUUUGGUUCUAUUCAAGGCUUGCUUUAUUUGUCUAGUACCCCUUUCAGUCAGAUGCAAACACAUAGAAAUGCAUAGUGUUACAUAUUUGGAGUGUCCGCACCCUUUUGGACAAAAGCUAGUUUUUAGGGUCCUACAUCAAAUAGGAAAUGAAAGUUUGACCUCCAAGUAUUAAAACCUAUAUCUUUCAUGAUGAAAGAGGUGCUCAAGCUGCUUUGUGGGAUCCAUUAUUCUGUAUGGAAGGAAAUGAGAUUCACAGUAAGAUGAAAACCAAGAGAGAAAUGAAUUUUGCUGAUGGCUAGGGCACCCAUACCCGAGUAUGGAACUCAGGUCUAAUUAUUUCUAUUUUAUUCUUUUGUGACUGUUUAAUGCAAGUAUAUAAUUAAUCCAGACAACAGAAAAAGGGACCUCUUAUUUUGCUUGAGGGUCCUAAACAUAGAUUUGUCUGCAGCCUGCAGGCCUGCAGCCUCUAGAAUCUUAUCUAAAAGUUUGCUCCAGAUACCCAUUGUUUUAAACGAAAAUGAUUGUGCAGGUUGUAUUAAAUAUUCUUUCAUAUUUGGUAUACUAAGGUAUACUAAGAACACAAUGAAAGCACCAAAAGUUAGGAAAAGUGCACUGUUGCCUACAUUAUGAAACUAGACUACACUUAGCUCUGGAAUGUUCUCUGAGAUGCUUUGGCCUAUUCAAAGGCUGCACCUUGGGCAUAACCUACAGCAAAACAUCACAGAAUCACAGGCAAGCUUAUAAGCAAAAGUUGUGUUCCUACAGAUCAUAAGGAAAUACUUAAGAGGUUAAUCUGGGUUCCGUGAUUACACACUUGACUUUAAGUGUUUUUAGUUUGAGUAAAAUCUACUGCAGGUAUUUAAGUUUAUCACAUAAUAUACCUCCUGGACCUUCAUAUUAAGUUGAACUACCUUUUAAAUUUGCAUACAGAUCUGAUUCUGGACAUUAGGUCUCCUGUGUAGACUCUCCAUAUAUUUCAAAACAUCUAAGAGGGAAAUUAACAAUAUAAUUAAAAUGCACUUAAUUGACUCUUUAAAAUGUCAUUUAUGAUUCUAUUUUGUAAUGUUCAAGUAAAAUAAAGAUAUAUUAGGUGCUUAUACA